UAAAUUUAUCAAAAAUUAAAAGAAAAAACGUCAAAUACCCCCUGUAGUUUCACACUUUUCCACUUUAGUAUUAUGUGGUUUAAAGUGUAUCAAUUUAGUAUCAUGUGAUUUUAUUUUUAUCUUUUUACUAUCGAUUCCACUAAUUUUUUUCGUUAAAUCAGUGAUAAAGUUAAAACGAAAGGAUACUAAAGUAAAUAUUCGAUAAAUCUAGGUGAAGUAUCUGAAGUUUUUUAUAUAUAAUUUAAUGAAAUAUUAACGAAAAAACUGACGAAAAGAUAAAAUGAAACCAUAUGACACUAACUUGAUACACUUUAAAUCACAAGAUACUAAAGUGAGAAAGUGCGAAAUCACAGAAGUGGUAUUUGAAGUUUACUCAAGUUAAAAGUUUAGACGCUUGUGUACAAAAAGAGCUAAAAUGCAGAGGAUCUUUACACUUGUACACCAGGUUCACGCAAUCGUUUCUCCUUAUCCAUUUGCGACCCUAUCCUUCUACCCCUCUUUCUCCUUCCUCCUCUUCCCCCACACACAAACACACACACACACAAAAUUAACAAAAAAAAGGAAAAAGAAAAAAAAAUGAAGCUCUAUGCUUCCCAACUCAACCCUCCUCCUCCUCUCCACUUCCCCAAGAACCCUAAACCCACCAAAUCGCACCACUUCACUCCCCCACAACUCCCCCCAAAACCCCCAAAGUUUAAACUAGCACCAAAAAAUACCACAGUUCCAAGCCACCUUCUUCUAGAAGCUCCCCCCAAAUGGGUGCUUCUGGGGGGAGCUUCUCUCAGCUUUGGGCUUCUGCUUCUGCUUUUUGGGCCCCAGCAGGCCUGGGCUUUUGGGCCUGAUGGGCCCUUGCUGGAGGAGUUUUGGGAUAAUAUGCGGCGGUACGCACUGUAUACUUUAACAGUGAGCACCGGAGCGCUGUACACAGUAUUUCAACCUAUUGUGGAGCUUUUAAAGAACCCGAUUACCGCCAUUCUCAUACUGCUUAUUGUUGUGGGUAGCGGGUUUCUUGUUUCCCAGGUACUUAGUGCCAUGGUGGGCAUUUCCGACUUUUCGUACAAGUAUGGAUAUUAAUAAGUUUAGUGGAUGAGAUGCUGUAAUUGUGAAUUUUAUUGCAUUUUGUUUUGCUGAUCUCGAAAGUUAGAUCUAAGUUUUUUGCGGAGAUAUUAUUUAUUUUCGUACAUAAUAAUUAUAUUUUUUAAUUGCGAUAUAUUUUUAGUUGUCCCAUCGGAAAAACGGAAAAACAUAUUCUCAUAUGCUCUUGCGCCAACUCUGCUACGCCUGUUAGCUAUAGAUGUGCUUUAAUAUCAGAUGGAUUUUAAGUAUCUAACAUUAACAUGAUGAUUUAAGAACAGUUGAAAAGUAAAAACAUUUUAUUGGAGUAAAUUUAUUGAGGGUGUUUAUAGUUACUAACUUUUAUGAUCAUCAAAUACAUCCUAAAGCUAUAAAUGAUCUCUUUUGUACAUAAUAUGGAAUGCUUGGUUGGUUUAUGCAUGCAGCGUAAGAUGAUAUAUGAAGCUACCACCAGGUUAAAUAAUAUAUACAAAACUCUUGACGGGAUCGAAAACAUUUCCCUUUCUAUGUUAUUAGAUUAUUAGAUUAUUCCUCAAUUGAUUCUGAUUCACAAAAUAAAGAUUUUGGAUUGAUGAUGGAUAACUCCGAAUACAGAACAUAUCUUCAAUCACUUUGAGCUGAAAAAAACCCGUUUCCUUGGAUGUCAGUUUAAUUGAAUGAUCAUUCAACAAGCCCAUCCUGAUUCCACCUGAAUCAAGUCAUGGGCCUAAUUCCAACUUAAACCUAAAAAAAGUUCGUGGGUUUGAGUCCUACUAACCCAAACCUAACCCAAAAUUGUAGAUGGGUGACCCAAGCCAAACAAGCAGAACUUGAGACUUGAUCUGGUGAGACCUGUGGGCCGUAGUCAGAGGUUCGAGUCGGUGUGGAUUAUAGUCAGAGGUUCGAACUACUGUAUGUCAUAGUCAAAGGUUCGAACUACUGUGUGAACUUGAGCUUGAGACCUGGGCUUCGAAUCUUAUAAAUAUGGAUUUCCAAGUAGGUUGGAAUGCCAAGGAAAGAAAAAUAAUAACUUUUAUCACCUAGAAAAGCAUUUUCACAGCAAAUUUCAACUUUUUCCUUCAUGAAAAGGAUUAACUUUGUGUACUACCAAGCGAAAGAAAAUACAGUAGGGGAAAAAAAACAAAAAAAAAAAAAGCUACCACUCCUCAAUUAAUGGCCUCGGCUCAUGUAAAUAUGUAACAACAUUAACACUUACUCCCUACCCCCAAUUUCCAGCCUCAUCAUGUAUCCCAUAUCAUCACAACAGCAAUCACCCCGACCCCGGCGACCACCGCCAGCCACCGGUUCACUGGCGAGUCGGCCGCGAGGGGCCGCUGCGGCUUGUACCCUUUGGCUAAGAGAUGGUUGAUGGAGACGUAAACAAACACGCCGCACGCGAGGCCCAUGGAGAUGGCGUAGAUCCAGUCCGCCACAUGGCCCUCGGUGGUGGAGUCGAUUAUGAUCCCGAUGGCCACUCCGAUUGGGCUGGAGAUGGCGAAGGCGAAGGCGUAGGCCGCGCAGGAGAGCAGCGGGCGGUUCGGGAUCAUUCUUAGGAGCGCUAUACCCAUGGCUAUUGCCGCGAAUAUCUUGUGCAGGCUGAUCGUCCACAGCGCUUUCCAUGCAUCGGCUUUAGUCUCUGCGCCAUAGCAACACAAGCAUGCGAGCAAUUUUAGUUUCAGAACAUAUUUGUUAUUUGAUGAAUGCAUUUGUUGAAUCUGAUCAUUAUUCACUGAUUGAACUUGACCACAUCUAAUGAAUACGACUGGUUGCUAGUAAAGAUUACUCUUCUGUAGCCGCUUCACUACUGCAAAAACAAAAUGAUUCGGCAAACGAAAAGUAUACAGUUGUUUGCUCUCAAAUGCGAGAGAGCGCGUAUUGUUGAAACUCCAGCUGGAGCAAAUAGACCCUCAAUAAUAUUCAAGGACCCACAUUAUAGGAGAAUUUACAAACUAUUUGAAUAAAACUCCCAAAAGGAAGUAGAUAAAGAGGGUACGAUUUGUCACUCUUAAAAUGUUGACUAAGGAUGAGUCCACGAAUAAAGAUACAGAGGGUAGGAUAUGUCACAUAAUGAAGAAAAGUCGAGAUAAGAUAGCCAGAAUAUCUCGGAGGGAGAGGUGAAGAUAUUAUGUGUUAGGUAGUCAAAGGAUAAGUGUCUUUUUCGGCUAUAAUGCAUUUUGAACGGAGCUGAUGAGGGAACAACCAAUCGAGCGUAAAUUAAGUCCUUCUUUGGACUAGUUACGAGUAUAAAUUUAUAAAAGUAAAGAAAAGCCAAGAUAUUUGUCAUCAUGAUUCCAUAAUUACACCAAAAUAUUGCUUAUGCAGGUUAGUAGGAAUGGCAUAUAAUUCUAAAUCUUAGUAGGAAAUGUGGUGCCUUACUGACAUACUGGCCUAACUUGUCAAACAAUUUCUCUACCAUGAGAAGCAAAAGUAUUUAGCACAUAAAAAAAGCUGGAGCUUCUAUAAGGCUAAAAAGCUGAGAGCCACUAGCUUCUGUUGCAGUGAGAAGCGAUUGCACAAAUUUUAGUGAAGAAAGCAGCUGGCGCUUAUUCUAACAGCUUUACUCAAAGAGCAGUUAUGAAAAAAAAAACUCUACUUGGGCCAAGCAGGCCCUAUAUCGAAAACCUUGUUAUUCAUUUUCCAUAAGGACCAGCAGAUUGUUAAUUUAAUUUUUACUAAUUACAACUUGUGUAACUCCGCUUGCUUAUUAGUUUGUUCCUGUUGAAAUUAAAGCCGACAAUUCAAGCAUGCUACUAAGUUACUUUCCUCAAGUUGUCAGGCACUUCUCAAAAGAGAUCCAACUAUGCUGGUGCGAACAAUAUAGUGAGGUAUAAAAGUAACAAGUUACCUGCGACGCCAAUUGCAAUGCCUUCAAAAACAGAAUGGAAACACAAGGCCACAAUCAAUAGUAUGCUGUCGCCAAGAUUAUCAGCGUCACGAAGCAUAGCUGCAACUGAGUGAUUAUUUGUGCCAUUUACAGCCUGCAUUAAGACCCAUUCAACACGAAAAUGAUGAAAAAGUUAGCGCAUGACACACAUAGCUUUGCAUGCUAUUAUAUAUACCAACAGGGUGCAAAAGCAACAUAUAAUUGUUUAAUGAACACCUACUUCAUAAACAUACUUAUCCAAAGACCAACCUAACAUGAAGAAUUACUCGAUCAUUGUUAAUGAGGAACAAAUUGUAUUUAACUUUUUCAAGUAUGCAGCAUCAGAUAUUCCUACUCUUGUUAUAUUAUAACUAUUUUAAGUUUGGUUUGAAACAGGUAGUUACAAUCAAAGAGAAGACUCCUUUUCUUUAGAUAAUUACACCAACUUAUUGAAAGUUAAAUCCAAACUAGAAAUUGCUACCAAACAAACAUAUAAUAAAGAAUAGCAGUGACAACGGGAAUUAGGCCCAACUUCUAGAAAAGUUUAUCCUCUAAAACAAAAUUCAAGCUUUUAGCAAAGCAAAAAGUGUGUCUAUCAACAGAAAAAACUCGAAUUGAGUUUUUGAGGCCCAAAAACAGGAGCUCCAUCGAAUAAAUUUUUAAUUAAAAAAUUAAGUAUGUUAAGGCAUCUUUGAAAAGCUCUCCUCGAACAAAACGUAACUUCAAAGUAUAAUCAAUAGAUACAUGUAAAGUAAUAUGGAAAACGACUAGAUACUGUACAAUUAUAAGCAACAAUUGAAUCAAUCAUUAUAGGUACAAGAAAAUUUGAUUCAAUUCGUCGCAAAUUGCCACCACAAUAUAUUUGAAAACUCACCUCUGAUUGCAAGUUCGAGUUUCCAUUGUUAGCAUCAAGUUUACUCUCUUGCAAGGCUCCUGAAAUAAGAGUAAUGAUAACAAUUCCAAACAUCAAAUUCAAAUUCAAAUUCAAAUUCAUAAAAGAAAUCAAUUAAACUUCGUAAAAAGCAGAACUUAAGGGAUCGAGAGUGGAAAAAGGGCCAAAACUGAAAAUUUUAUCCAGUUAUUAACCCUUCUUCUUAUAAAUCUAGUUUCAACAAUGCUCACUCAUAAAAAUCAUAUCUUUUCAUAAUUUAGACAAAAGAUUUUGCAUAGAAACAGGCCAUUAAAUAAAAAAAAAAAAACCAAACCUUUUUGUAUUGAAAUUAAGAAUUUCACAAAAGAGUGCAUUGAGAUCGAAACCCACCUCCGUCGCCAUUACCUCCUCCGCCGCCCCUUUCGACGUCUCUCACCCCGCUCCCACGCGCGACCACGAUCGCGAUGACGCAAUCGGCGAGCAUGGUGAUGACGAACCCGGCGCUCGCGAGCAUGAACGCGAAGGGGUACUCCUUGUCCGUGAGGUCCUCGAAGGUCUCGUUGGAGUCGCUGAGGAAGUGCAUGAGCGCCGUGCCGAGGAACACGCCCCCCGCGAACUGCGUCCCGAGCACGAGGAACCCCUCGUCCCACUUGAGAAAGUAGGGGGAGACGCCCCCGACGAAGGUGCCGACGAAGACGAUGAUGAGGCACCACACCUUGACGAGGAUGAGCGAUUUCGCGCGGAGGUUCGGCUGGGCGCCGCCGGAGUCGUCGUCGUCGUCGGAGCCACCACCAUGUGCGGCGGCGGAGGAGGCGAGUAGGAGGAGGAGGGAGAUGAUAGGGACGAGGGGGAGGAGACGAGCCAUGGAGGUAGAGGCGGAGGGAGGGGUUCGACCAUGGUGAUGGGAGAUUUCUACUCCAGGGUUUUAAAUUGGGGAUGGGGUGAUUGCUUUUGGAAGGACGCGGUUGGUUUGUACUACUCCCAAGCUUGAAAUAGUCAAAUUAAGAGAGAGAGAGAGAGAGAGAGAGAGAGAGAGGCGUAGUACAAUUUAGAGAGAGAGAGCAUUUGAUACUAAUGUAGUACGAGUACGAUGUUAAAAAAAAAAGAAAAGGAAAAAAAAUGAAGAAGAGGAAGGAGACUUUGAAUAGACAUGUACAAGUGGAAACAGGCUGUAAUAAGAGCGUUUACCCGCUUUGUGCUUCGUUUAUUUUAGGGCUUUUUUUUUACAUUUGGCCUACUAAAAAAAAAAUUAUUUUAAAAAUAAUCUCAAUAAAUUUAUAUUUGUAGAAAUUAUUCUAAUUCUCUCACGCAACGCUACAUCAGUGAGGCUGGGACCAGUUUGUUAAGUUGAACACGAUGAAUCAUUCACAGUGUCUAAACACGGUGAAUGGUUCACCGUGUUUGAAAAAAAUAUAGUAUAUAUAUAUUGUAUUGCGUAAAAAUAUAAGUAUUGAAAAGGGGAAGGAAGAAAAUAUAUGUAUAGAAUAUGAUAAAUCAUUCACCGUAUUCAAACAGGGUGAAUGAUUUAUUGUGUUCAAUUUAACACCAUACCUGAUGUGGCGUCUACGUGGAUGGGAUAAGGCCAAAUUUGUAAUUAUAAAUUUGAUGGGAUUAUUUGUAAAAAAAAAUAUUUUGAGAGGGCCAAAUGCAAAAAAAAACCUUUAUUUUAUCAGGAUUCAAAUUUUGAACAUUAAAUAUCAAUUAUCAAAUUCAUUCUUUACCAUUUACGCCAGAGACCGUCAAUAAGCCGGAAGAGUGUUAAUUCCAAAUUCUCUCGAGUCAAUACAAAAAUUGGAUAUGGUCCGUAAAUUUGUUUAAAAAAGUUUCAAAUAUCGCAUGUAAAAAAUAAAAAAGUAUAUAAAAAACAUAUAUACCUUAUACGAAUUUAUAAAUUAUUCUAAAAGAAAUUUUCUAAUCUUUUAAAAUUUUAAUUUAUUUGAUUUGAGUAAGUGGACAAUAUUUAAUUUAAAAUUUUAAGCUAACUAUUUACUUUAAUAAAUUUAUAGUUAUAAAAAUUGUAUAAAGUAUAUUAACUAAAUAUGUGAAAAUAAACUACAUAUUUAAAUUUUAAAUUCAAAAGGCCUUUUGUAGAUAGUCUAUUUUCUCACUUAGUAUUUCCUCAAAAAUGAAAUAGUUGUCUAAUCUCCUUGAUCUUUUCGGGAGCAGAGCAGAAAAUGAAUGGAAAUUCCAAUGAAUGUUGAAGAUAGUCUAUUUUCUCACUUAGUAUUUCCUCAUAAAUGAAAUAGUUGUUUAAUCUCCUCAAUAACUCUUUUAAUCAUCAAAAUUUUCAUUCAUUUUUCCCUCUAUUUGUGGAAAGAUCAAGGAGACUUUCAGAUAUUUGGCGUCGGUUUUUCCAACUAAAGUCUAAUAGUAGUAAAUUGAAUAGAUAUUUCAAAAUGGUACGUGGUUCAGGUUUAGUGUGAGAUUUCAUUUUUUUUAACAUAUAUAAAUGGCCUAUAAAAUUGUUUGUUUUAAACAUUUCUAUAUUUGGUUAAUUGCAAUUACUUUCUUAAUAAAAUUUGAUUUACUAUUUGCUCUCUUGUACGUGCUGUUUAAAUUGUACUUAAUAUAUAAAUAUAAAUUUUAAAUAGAUUUUUUUCAUAUAAAAAUUUGUACUUUAUUUGAGUUUUAUUAUAGGAGAAACUUUAAAACCCCUCCUGUGGUUUCGUAGUUUCUCACUUUGCCCCCCUGUAGUUUAAAAUGUAUCAAAUUGCUUCCCGGUGGUUUCGUUUUUAUUUUUUCGGUAGCUUUUUCGUUAAUAUUUCAUUAAAUUAUAUACAAAAAAGUCAGAUAUUCAUCUAGAUUUAUCAAAUAUUCACUUUAGUACCCUUUAAUUUUAACUUUAUUACUGAUUUAAGAAAAAAAAUAAUAAAAUUAAUAAGAAAAAGAGAAAAAAAAAACCGCAGGAAGGCCAAAUUGAUACAUCUUAAAUCACAGGGGAGCACAAUGAGAACCAACGAAACUACGGGAGGGAUUUUUAAAAUUUUUUCUUUAUUAUAUUAUAAUGAAAGUGGCAAACAUUUUUAUUUAUUAGUGUGCAAUGGUCAAAGUCAUCCAAAGAUUUUUCUCUUUUCUAUUUUGUACAAUCAAUCAAUAAAUAAAAUAUUAAAAAAUAUACAUAUGUGACACACGUGUGGGCCGAAAUAAUACACGGGCUGCAACGUCACAGAAACAUUAAUUUUUUUUUAAAAAAAAAUGCAUUAAAAUUUAAAGCUAAGGAAAUUAUAUUUAUAUAGUAAAUAUGUUUUCCUAUGUUUCGAAAAUCAAUAUAUAUUGUGAGAGACAGCAAUUUUCCCAAUUCGCUAAAAUAUAAAUAUGAAAAUUUUAUACUUCUGAAGCAGAUGCAUUAAUGUAUAUAGUUAUUAUAUUAUAUAUUAUUAUCUACACUUAUCUCUAGGAGUGAUAGUGAAGUGAGAAAAGGACUAAGUGCUGUGUAAAUUAAAUUCAAAAUAUUUAUUUUGAAAAUGUCAAAUCUAAAGGGAUCAGAAUAAAGGAUAAACAAGAAAAAAAAAAAAAAAAAAACUUAUGCUCGCAUUAACUUGAUGAAUUUCCAAUUCCAUCACUUUCUCUCCAAUGAACUAAAAAUAAAAAUGACUUCACAUGACGUAAUUCGAGUUUAGUGUGUUGAUACCAAGUGAAUAAAUCCAUAAAUAUAUAAUGCAAAAGUAUAUUCACGAGUAUACAACUUUUUCAAGAAAGACUUUAUCGUAUUGCGUUUUUUCAACAGAAGUAGCAAUCGAAGAAAAUGAACUAAUUUUAAAGCGUAUUCCAACCCUUCGGAAAAGAGGCAGUGGGCUGCGUAUGAAUUCUCUAUGCAUGCAGUGGCUGAUCUAAUCAUUCAUCCAAAAAUAAAAUUCAUCUAAUCAACAGUAAAUAACGAUGUGACAAUAGGCAUAAAUAUCUACUAGCUAAUAAAUGACAUACUUCAUAAUAUCUACGAAAGACUAGAAUAGUCUAAUGUGGAAAAAAAAUCUUAUCGAAUAUAGGUUCGCGGGGAAUUUAUGUUGAGAAUAAUAGAAUUGAAGAAGCAACUACAAAAUCAUCUCAAUCAAAUAUAUACGUGGACACUUCCAUCGUUUUCUUUAAUUCCAAUCAAAUUCAUUCACUCCGUUACGAAACCUCAACAAUGUGAAACUGCGACGAAUUAUUUUUUUUGAGAAAUAGAUAGCAAGCUACCUGCUUCAUUUAUUAAGCAAAAUGAACUAAACGUAUAUGGUGGAAGCAGCUAGGGCCUCUAAGUAAGCCAGCAAAAAGAGGGAAAAAAAAAAAAAAAGCAAUAGUCUAGGUUCACAGAACUUCGGUCCAAGAUUUGAUCAGAGACACGACACGUUCGAGAGCCCGGGAGGCAUCGGGAAGCACUUCGCGGAAAAUAGUGUUGUUUCGCUCUGUCCAUACGACCCACCAGAUUGCCGCCAAAAGGGUAACCGCGACGAAUUGUUUGGAAUGGAAUAAUAAAUCAUUACAGAGUUACAAUGUUAAUAGUCUCAUAGGUAUGAGCUCAAAUAUUUACAGUUGAAUUUCAAUAAGUAUGUCAUAUUUUUAUUGGAUUUAAUGAUGGUUUUGGGGUUGGGCUAAGCCUGAUCUCGAAUGGACACUUGAAUUAAGUUAUUAGAAAAUAGUGUUUUAAUAUUUUGUAGUCAACGGUGUUUUCAAUUAUGGAUGCAUCUCUUUUUCUUUUUUUUUUUUUAAGGCAAAAUAAAAACUUUUGAGUCCAUUGGAAUCGGGCUAGGCCGAGCUCGGCCCACGGAUUCAAUUCAAAUAAACAACUCCAAAGGCCCGGUCCAGCUUAUUACGAUAAUAUGGGCCCAAAUUCUAACAAUUGGGCCUACAAUCCGGCCCAGUUAUAUCCCCCAUUGCUAAAGUAGACCCAAUCCAUCCGUAGCUUCUUGUCACUUCUCUCUUUCGAACCCCACAUCCUCUUCCUCGCUCGAUUCCGAUUUCUAGGGCUUCUCCCUCCUCUCGCUCUCGCUCUCGCUCUCGCUCUCCUACGAAUUCGAUCGAUUUUAGGGCUCUCGCGCCCCAUUUGGCCGCGAAAUCCAUGACCUUUUGCGAUCCAUGGAUCCCUCACUGACGCAAUCCGCUCCCGAGGUAGAAGAAGACGAUUGGGGUGAGAUUUCACCGCUUUAGACCAUGUUUUUGUGCUCUCUGUGGAGCUUUUUUAGUUUAUUUUCGUCUCAAUGUGGAGGUUUUGGUAGUUUCGAUUGUGUUUGGAGAUUCAGAAGAGAUUUAGUUGCUUAGUGAUUUGUGUGAGACUACUGAGUUUAUGAUUAAAGAAAUGGACCCCAAGGUUGUGUGGAUUUGGAAGGAUUAGGUGGGAUUUUGCAAAAUACAAUUAAAUCCUGUCACUGAGGUCGUAUUUGGUGAAAAUUUACUUGCUGUUAGUUAUAAUAUAUUUGUAGCUCCCAAAUUCCCCUUCCUAAAAUAAUCAUUUAACUUUUUUAUUAUUUCUUAUUAUUUAUCAAUUUGUUUCAAGCAAUUACUGGAAUGCAACUCAAGUUAACUCCAAAUUAACCCGAGAAGAUUUAUUUAUUUAUUUUGUUGUGAUUUUUUUAAUAGGAUUCUUCUGAACUGAAAUCAGUUGAAUUAUUCUUAGGUUUGAUUCCAGGUUGAGUUUGAGUUUGGAAAAACUCGAAAUCCAAUCCCCUAGAAUUCUGAGAGCUGAAGCAGCCAAAUGAUGGGGUGUUAGCAUUUAAUUUGCUUCCUCAGAUUUGGUUUUUAGUUUGUUAGAAAAUCCAAAUGGAAUUGUUGAUCGUUAUUAGAAGAUUUUAAUUCAAUACAUUAGAUGCUUUGCUCUCUCUUGUUGAAUAUCUUGUUCGUAGCUGAUAUAGCCGUGUUAAACUUUUGAUUGUGAAUCUGUGGCUAGCAUUUGUUUUGACAUCCUUUUGCCUUUAUAGAUGGGAAAAGUAGUAAUCUUUGUAUUGUGAUAUUCAACUUACUGUUGAUUGUUGAAAUAAGCAAUGCGCUAUCUAUAUGUAGGUUAAGGUUUACUAUGACUUGUCCACUUCAUUUUCCCUUUUGUUUUCCCUCUCAUGUUUAUAUGUCCCUCCUUAUAAUUUUCAUGGUUAUCUAAGUUCUUUUGUUUUCCCCCUCAUGUUCAUAUAUCCCUCCUUAUAAUUUUCAUGGUUAUCUAAGUUACUUUUCCAACAAAAUAGGCUGCUUGGCAGGUGGUACACAAAAGCAGUUGAUGAGCUUCAACAAUGUUGAUCAUAUAACAUGGUCUCCCUUCGAUUGAUGCCAAAUUCUACUUCACAACACAGUUAGGUUAGAGAGGGGCUUACUAUGCAACUUAUGAAGCCAAACUAGCUACUAUUAAAUUAAUUUUGCCAUCAUAAAUAGGUUUGUACAACACAAGUGACUUCUUGCAACAUCCCUCGCCUUUUUAAUGCUCUUUAACAUGCGUGAACUCUGUGGUAAACAGGAAGUUUACUACUAUAGGUAUCUUUAGGCUAGCCGGUAAAGAUUAGAAUUUCCCAAUUCACCUUACUUCUCUUGAACUUAAUCAGCCAGGUUUUACAAAUUUCAGUUGUCUAGUGUCAGUUUAGAUUAUUGUAGUUUGUUUCAAGGUUUAAAGUGCCGUGGCACGGGGGCGUGCCGCUGUUUGCCUGGCACGGUACGGCACCGACACGCUUCCGUGCUAACACAUGGUACACUUGCGUGCCGAUGGAUACGCAUGACCAAGGUUUUAAGUGCCCGUCGGCACGGGCCGUAUCCACCGUGCCGUAGCGUGCCAAUAAGAUACCGACACGAUACAAACCCCGUGCCGAUGACACAGCUCAAAACCCUCUAUUCUUUAAAUUAGUAAGUAAUUUUCUCAAUAAAGUUCAAAAGAUGUGAUAAAAAGAUAUAAUAAAUAGUUAGAAUAUUUUGUUGCUAAAGAAAAUAAAUAUUUCAUGCUAUUAUGUGUCGGCACACAAGAAUUUUUUUGACCAGCACGUAUCGGCACGGCUCGGCACGCAUCGUGCCAUACUGUGCCAGUAAGUUUCCGGCACGACUCCGUGCCACGGCACUUAAAUCCUUGCGCAUGCCCUCUUAUUGGCACGCUUUGUUACGAACUUAUUUCAGUUUUUUUUGUUUCAAUAAACUCUUACAAUAUUAUUUUGAAAGAUUUAAUCAAAUAAUUAUGAAUAUUUGCUAUGUAUAGUUUACUAUACUCAUCAAUUAACAUACUUGUAAGCUUUCUUGUAUGAAAAGCAUAACUAUAUCUGAUACAUAAUAGAAAUUUUUACAAGUUAGAAUUUUUAAAAUGUAAAGACAUCUUUUUUUUCUUUUUUCUUUUGACCAUAUUACAAUCUUUCUUUUAUAAAAUACAAAAAAAUAAUUUUAAAAUUAUUUUAAAAAAAUAUUUUUUAAUUAAUUUUUUCAAAAAAUUAGUUGAUCUAUCAAAUAAAUUAAGCGAUAAAUUAUAUAACAAAUAAAUUAAAUAAAUUUAAGUAUCAAUUAAUUUAAUUUAAUUUUUAAUUUUAUCAGUAUUUUCAAUUUUCUAACGCAAAAAUAAAAUUUUAUAUUUGAUGUGCCUUAAAAUUUGUUUAUUAAGUUCGAUUUUGUUUCCCUAAUUUGGCAAAAGUUUCGCGGUGCGAUAAAUUUUGAUAAAAUAAUUUGUGAAGAAAUAAUGGAUGUCUGUGGUGUAAGUGGAGGGAUUGGAUAUGUAAAUUAAAAAUUUGCCCUAUAUUGAUAAACAAAAAAAAUUAAAUUAUAAUUUUUUUGAUUUGCCUAAUAAAUAGAUCUUCGAUUUGCAAUAUUUUUUGGAGGUUGUAGGGUAUCCAGAAUGCUUCGGGUAUCCCAAAAAAUAAAAUAAAAAGAAAAAAACAAAAAGCAAAAAAAAAAUUUUGCACCGUGCCGCUCUGUCUCGUGCGGCACGACCCCGCGUGCCGCGGCGCGGAGGGGGGUCCGAGACCCCCCCCCCUAUACCGUGCCCCUUUCUUGGUGGCACGGUGCGGCAUGGCCGGCACUUAAAUCCUUGGUUUGUUUGUUGAUGCUAAGACUUGUGUGGCGGUGUGGGGGAGAAAAAUUAUUUUGUCAAAAAUAUUUCUUUUGUAAGAUUGCAUUGUAUAUAUUGGAGUCUGUGUUCUGGCCACUUUGUUUUGGUAAAUACUCUAUCGUUUUCAUUGCAAUAUAGUAUUUAUAACAACUAUGUGUGACAUAGUCUAUUGCAUCUGAGUUCCUAAAAAAGGAUGUGAUGUGGUGCAUUGUUGUUGUUUUAUUUUAUUUUAUUUUAUUUUUUCCAAAGAAUAUAGGUUGUUGUACUUUUAUCCAGUGAAUCGAGGACAGUGAGCAAAGCUUGAUGUUCGUGCGUCACUUAACAUUCCUUGUUACCAUGAAUUUACUUAAAAACCAGUGGCAUUUUAGGGUGGGGAAGGGAUGGAUGGGACAUUAGUUCCUUUGUGGGACGGUAGGGAAAAUAGCUGCCCCACCCCAAACCCAUAUUGUUGUCAUCCCUAAUUGUUUUUGGCCCAACAACUUGAGGGUUGUUCCUUUUUUAGUAAAUAUAUGUUUUGAUUAGCUUGCACUUCGCAGAUACCGAUGGCUUUGUGAUUCCAAGCUUGAGUGUGGGAAGCUCUGAUCUUGUUGACUGGGACGCUCCACGAGCAACAGAUCUUAAGCCACCUCCAGAAAAGGUCUCUUCCAGUAAUUCAUGUACCUUCUGGACAUCUAUUUCUGAAGUAUUAUUUUCUAGUUUCAAGAAAUUCUAUUUCUUUUAUUUUUUCGCUUUUUAAGCAGCCCAUCAAAGAAGCAGAGAACAUAUAUUUAGGACCUCACGGGGCCCCUCCCUCUCAAGCAAAGCAGCAAGAACCGCCCACCACCAGCCGUAAGCAAAAGCUGAAAAGUAAGCUUAAGGAAGCUGAUCGUAAGUUCUCCGGAACAGGGCGCGAGAACAAAGUGGACAACCUACGAGAGCUCAUCGGAAGUAAUAAAUUAGGCAGAGCGACCAUGCCGCAAAGCUCCCCGAGAGACUGGCUCGAUCCUCAUUGCCAUGAAUCUCAAUUCGACAGGCAUCUUCAUUAACAGAAAAAGAGUACCUUCUGCUAAAGUAAAAUAAAGUAUCAUUAUUUACUAUUUUCUAUGAUGGUUUCACAGGGCCAUCAAUUUGCUAAUUUUUUGAUUUCAUAUACCUAUGAACCAUCAAAACCAACUCUUACUGUUGGAUUAUGUAAUUUCUACAUCAAGCAUGUUGUGUUUCAUCAUCAUCAUCAUCAUCAUCAACAUCAGCAUCUUCUUCGUUUCUUCUUUCUUAUGAGCUUCCGUGAAAUAGUAAUUGGGUGUUUUCGAAAUACUGUUCUGUGCUUUUCUGAAUUUGUCUUGGGACUGUUUGGUCUAACAUGGUGAUAGUUUUUCUAAAUCUAGGUGGAACAAUGAUUGAAUUUUAUGAUGGCUACACUUUCAACUGUUGAUUGUUGUUGUCAUGAAUUUACACGGCAAGCUUUACCACCCUGAAAAAUAACUAUUGUUGUAGUGCCAGGUUUAUCAGUUCAUUUUUUUUUUUUUUUUUUACUCGUUAUCUUACCACAUUGAAAUUUCCUAUUGAUUUGUUGUCUCCUUUAUUUAUAUCUUUACACAUUUUAAAUAUCUCAUGCCAAAUGUAAUAUCCCGUGUUCCUUUCUGUAUUUUCCACUGAUGUUUUGCCGAAACUCGGCAAUGAUUUUUAUUUUAUUUUUUUUAUUUUUUCUCUUUCAAGUGUAGCUCUUACUCGGAUUCUUCUCGAUUAGAAGUUUUCAAACUGUUUGGCCAUCUUCUGUUCAUCUGUUGUGACAACAUGUCAAUUGUGUUAGUUGAAACAAAUUCUUCGGGUCGAUUUGAUCUAGGUUAGUCAAAUUUACUAGGGUUCCCCUUCAAAGUUAAUGAAUGAUUGAACGUGGGACUCUUAGAAAUUGUCGCUUUUUGUAAAAUAUAAAAAUAUAAAAAUACCAUUCUUUGCUGGCUCAAGGUUUUUUUUUUUUUUUUUUUUUUGGGGUAAACGGUUGUUUCGUAUGAUUUAACACAUUUUUAUUGUGAGAUCAAUUUUCAUUCGUAGUCUUUGCGAGAUAAUGAACAAAUAGCAACUAUUUAAGUAUUGAUGUAAUUUGAUUAACUUUAUGUUGUGUUGAUGAGGUCUUAUUGAUUGUUUUAGGGACAAAAAUUAGGAAGCAAAUUGAUUGUUUUAGGGACAAAAAUUAGGAAGCAAGAUGCUGCAUAAUGGCAUUGAAAAUGUUGUUGCUGUUGUUAUUAUUAUGCUAGAAUCUGCCAAAUUUUGGCCUGUUUGUUGCAAAAUAUUUUCAGCCACAAAUGUGAAAGCAAGCUGUCCAAACCUAAACUUGAAGGAGUCAAGAGACCUGAUGUGUAGUGUUCAACUGCUUCUCCCACAACCUAAAGCAACCUAACACAAAAUUCAAUUUGAUUGCCUCUUUGAUCCAAACCCCCUUAAAACAUGUUCACAUCAUCACCGUUGGAUUCAUUUGUUGAUUUGUUAAGGUCAAAAGUUCUAUCACUAAGGAGCAGUUCUCUUCGAGGGUGCAUUACUCCUUCUGAAUGUUUUUCCUUUCCUUUUCUUUUUUUUUUUUUUAACUUUUUCUUUUUAUGUUUUAUUUUUUACAAGUUUAUGAGCACUAAGGAUCUCUUAAAGCAGUGAUGCGCAUUUAGGUGAGCAUUUAUGUCAUAAGACCCAGUGAGUUUGCAUGUCUAUUUCGACACUAACAAUUGUGGAAAUGAUUUCCAUGAAAACAAGCCAAUGCAAGAGCUUUACACUUACAUUUUCAAGUGAUCAGAUGAAUUUUUUUUUUUUUCUUUCUAAGGAAGUGGAUCAUUUUGUUGUUUCUUUUCAUUUCUGGGGCAUGCUAUGAUUAGAGAACCCCUUUUCAACAUACAAAGUGGAGGUGGGUAACAAAAUGUGCUGUGUCCAUUGUUUUCAGUGUGUUUUAGUCAUUUACUAAGCCCAUGUGGUCCAACCUUUACCCACACUCUCUCUAAUUUGAGAUUUUUUUUUUUUUUUUUUUUUUUUUUUUUUUUUUUUUUUUUUUUUUUUUUUUUUUUUCUUUUGUGUGUUUGUACAGGUUUUUGAGUUCUACUUGACAGCUCUCAAUUCUUUAAAAUUGAAAAAAGAAGAAGAAGAAAUUGCAUUUGGCAAUAAAUUGGAUAUGUAAAUCACUCUCCAAACUCUUAACAGAGAUUCCAAUGAUCACUAAAACAUUCCAAUUAAUUUGUCUAAUAGAUUCAAUUUGUAAGUUCUUCUGAAAAUCUUUCUAUUUGAUAAAUAAUAUCCUAUUUCGAAGUGGAAUACUUUUUAGUUUCUCCACUAGCUAUCAAAUGCAUUGUUGGAUGGAGUUACUAAUUCUUGCUCCUGAAGAACAAGAAAAGCGAAUUAAGUGACAAACAAAAUUGGUAUCAAUUUGCCUUAAAAAAGAAAAGAAAAUAUUAAGUGUAACCAUAUGAGGCCUAAGUUAUUUUCUUUUUUAUUUUAGCCCAUUUGUGUGUAUAUGUCACUCAAGCAUUAUGGAAAGAUAACAAAAAAUAAUGCUUAAUUUAGUCCAUUCAUUUAGAAAAGUGUGACCAUCAAAUUAAUUGGUGACAGUGUUGCUUGCUUGUGAAGAGUGAUAGAUAGAGACACCAGGUAGAAAAACUUAAAAGUGAUGAUUGAUAUUUUGAUUAAGCUAGAUAUUAAUUAAUGCAUGACUAUAUUAUUUAUCUUUCAUCUUUCUUUAAUACUAGAAAUACACAUAUACAUAUGCCUGCAAAGGUACUAUGUAUAAAUACAUAUGCUUUUUUGUGUAUUGAUUUAUGCCAGGAAAGGAGAAAUUGAGGAGACUCUUAUGAGCUGUGUAGCACUGUUAAUUUCCUCACUAAUUAAAUUAGAGGAAAAAUUUGAGUCAAAAGUAUGCUUUAUCAUACAUAGCUGUGGAGUUUGAAAAAUCUAAUUGAUCCACCAACCAAAUAAUUCAAAGAUUAGGACACAUGCAUAUUAGGUACAACAAUUCCUACUCUACAACACCACCAUAUUUCAUAUUUGUGUCCCAUAUAUAUAUAUAUAUAUAUAUAUAGCACCAAACGUUUGGUGCUAUCAAGUUUUCCGCUGUUAGAUUUAACUCUUUAACUAUUUUCACCUGUUAGAUUAUACUAUUAAACCAAUAACUUACUCAACCCUAGGGACUCACAUCAUCCUAAACGUAUAUUUUUUCAUUCAAGGGUCGAAAACCUAGUAGCGCUAAUUACUUGGUGCUAUUGAUAGUAUUACAGCAGCAUAUAUAUAUAUAUAUAGAGUUGAGUUAAAAUACUAUCGAUAGCAAACGGGCUCCAUUGUCACCCAUUUGUUUUUUAUGAUAGAACUUCCAAAUCGACGAUCGACACCGUUGAACAUGAUCUAUACCACUUGAAGUAUUUAGAAAUUAAAUUUCAAAUCCUUUCGACAUCAUUUGUCUAAUAAUCAAAAGGUUUCAAAUUUUGUAAUUUUAAUAGUCGAUAUAAUACGUUUCUCGUUUAACGGCGUAAAGAUAUCCAAAUCAAUUGAAUUUUUGUUAGAAAAUUCUUUUAACUAUUUAAAACAAGAUCUAUACUCUUGAUCUUGAUUACAAGACUCCUAUCAUCAGUUUUUAAAGAAUAUUCAUUUUCAACCGUUCAUUUUUGUGUCCACUCGAUGGAUAAGAGAACAAUAUCGAAAAUGUAUGAAAUUUGAUUUCUAAACACUUUAAGUGGUAUAGAUCAUGUUCAACGGUGCUGAUCGUCGAUUUGGAUGCCCCAUCAUUGAAAACAAAUAGGUGAUAACGGAGCUCGUUUGCUAUCAAUAGUAUUCUAACUCAACUCUCUUUCUCUCUCUCUCUCUCUCUCUCUAUAUAUAUAUAUAUAUGACACCUUUUUAUUCCACCAACUUUUGGUAACUACAUAAACAACUACAGUACUCAACUGUUUUGUGCCCUCAGAAUUAUGCUCAUGCUGUAUCACAUAUUCCAUAGAAACACAAUAAUGUUGCAGUAAUACACAAAAAAAGGAAGAAUUUUUUUUUUUUUAUAAUUCCAAGAUUAAUUAUCUGACAAUAUGUCUAUGAUAUACUCCUCGGGAUAAUUUUGUAAUAGGCAAUGUUGAAACAUAUGCCUACUUUUGGGAGAUACAAGUGAAAACCUCUCUCUCUCUCUCUAUGUAGUAUUGAGAGAUAGGUAGCACGCUACCCGCUUCGUUUAUUUCAUUAAGAAAUGAACUUAGUUGGAAAUAUGAAUCAACUAGGAUUCGAACUUGGUUCUCGGAUACCAACCACCAAACUCUUAAAUCCUUUGCCACUUGUUCUAGGGACGGUCGGUCUCUCUAGCUGUAGUACUAAAUCAAUCCUGUAGUUGCGUAAGCUUCAAGGCUAAGAAGUAACUGCUAAGGUGUCAUACUCACAUAUAUAUGUCUCCAUAAAUGUUCAAGUAAUAGCACUGUAGUGCAUGCACACCAACUAAUUUAUAAAGGUCUGAGUCAAAGAACAUAUCUAGAUGUAUAUGUAAUUAAGAGCACAAAAUAUAUACAGGUUAAUUUGGGACCAUGUGAUUUGGUGAGUCCCUCAGAUAUAUAAAUAUAUGAUCAUUUACAUAGAACAACACCCUUCCCCACUUUCUACAUCUCUUUCUCUUUCUCUCUCUCCCUCUCUCUCUCUCCACAUAAACAAAGUUUGGGAGCUCCAACAAGCCAUGGCUGAAAAGGUGAGCCCAUUUUUGUUUUUUCUUUUUCUUUUUUCAUAUCCUAUUUCUCUUCCUCUUAACAUAUGAUAUGUUUUAGUGCUUGUUAUGAUAUACUCUCUUCUAGUUUUAUGUAAUUAAUGUUUCUUUCUUCUUUUUUUUUUCUUGGUGUGAACUUAAGCUUAAUGUUUAAUCAAGGAGAGAGAAAGAUCAAACUCUUUCCACAUUAGAAUGUGACAUGUAGUGCUUAAUUGUGAUGAAAUUAACUCUUUUAGUGUUUAAUUCUGAUAUAUAAUAUUCUUUUUGUUUUUCUCUCUCUCUAAUACCAUAAUUUCUCUCUAAUUCACCAGUGAUUCAUUUGGUUCGUUUUUACUUUUUUUUUUAGACAACUUAAUGUAAGAAGAGGAGAAAAAGAUAAGAAAAACUUAGUUCCUCAAAAAAAUAACCUAUACCUUAAUUAACAAUCUAAUAGAUAUGUUGGAUCUUGUUUUAUAUCAUUAUUUUUUAUCAGUAAAAAUCCAUAAUUAAUGUUCUUAAUUAGUUCCAUCUACUAAUCAAUAACAUAUUCAUCUCCUCUACAGUUUCUCUUCUCUUUCUCUAAAAAAAGAAAAAAAAUUCCUCUUGGAUUAAGUUGCAUGAAUGAGAUCAAGAUGUGAUAUUGAUGCAUGUGACAACUAACCCCCCACUCUCUCUCUUACUAAAUUAUUAAUUGAAAUCUCACCCUUUUUUUUCCCCGCGGUUUGAUUUAUCUUAAAUAAUAAUUAAUGCCCACGUAUAUUCACUAACUCUUUUUUUUUUUUGGUGGGGGGUAAUCUCAUCACAGAUCUCCACUUUAAUCCUAAAAGUUGACCUUGAUUGUGAACUUUGUUACAAAAAGAUCAGGAAAGUUCUGUGCAAACUCCAAGGUAUGUAACUUAAUUUGUGUUAAUUAUCAACCAUUUCCACUAUACUUUAACCCAAAAAAAAAAAGGAAAAAAAAAGGUUAAAAAUGUAUGGAGAUCCCAACUAUAGAUGUUUUCGAAUUGACCACCUUAAACUCUUUUUUUUUUUUUUUUUUUUUUUUUUUUUUUUUUUUUAUAAGUUGACGCCCUCUUAAUUUUUUUUUUUUUUUUUGAACUGAGUUUUUCUAGUUAGUUAAGUUAAAAUUUAUUGAACUUAAUGGAUUGAUUAUAUAUUGUGCCAAUGAGCAGCUAAUUAUUUUAGUUAUAUUUUCUUAGUAAGUUUUGAUGAAAAUACUAAUAAAUUUGAUAAAGUUCUCACUUUGUUUGACUGAAAUUACUUAGUUUUUUUUUUUUUAAAUAAUAGCUAAAAGGUUUCAAUCAGAAGAAAUAAAGACAAAAGGAUCAUUUCAAAACUGCUUAUAGUUGAGGGGAUCUGCAAACACUUCUACCAAAAGACUUAAUCUAUGAACUAAAAAAGUAUAUAUAUAUAUAUAUAUAUAUAUAUAUAUAUAUAUAUAUUGGUUUAUACUUUUGUAACACAGAUAAGGAGAAGAUUAAUGCAAUAUCCUAUGAUGAGAAGAACAAAACAGUAACAAUCUCGGGCCCAUUUGAUCCCCAAAAGCUCUCCAAGAAGCUACACUGCAAAGCAGGAAAAGUGAUUAAGGAGAUCCAAAUUAAAGAUAACAAAGAGAAGGAAAAAGAAAAAGGAAAGGAGGCGGAAAAGGACAAGCCUAAAGACAAACCGGCCGAGAAGGAGAAGGACAAGGCCAAGGACAAACCGGCCGAGAAGGAGAAGCCCAAAGAGACCAAACCCGCGAAAGAAGAUAAAUCUAAAGACAAACCGACCGAAUCAGCUGAACAAAAGCCGGCAGAAAAGGAUCAACCGUCAAAAGAAAGUCAGGGCCCGCCGAAGUCCGAACCCGGCCCGCCAAUUCAAGCAUGGCCGGCCGGCCCGCCGGCUUGUUGCUAUAGGCCGUUCUACGAGGGAUACUACGGCGGGUGCCGGUGCUAUACGUGCGGUCGAGCGUACGGGUGGACGGGCCCAGGCCCAAUGGGCUUUUACGGUGGGGGCCCAUAUGAUGGGUCCAAGAGCUACCAAUUCUUUUGUGAGGAGGAUCCGUCGUCGUCUUCGUGUCGUGUCAUGUGAUUGUUACUUGUUUCACUAUUUUUCUCACUUUUGUUUAGAUUUAAACAUAUGUUUAUUUGCCUUGCUUCUGUGUUGGUGUAAAGGGCAGGGGAUAAGUGGGUGGUGAAUAAUUGAUUUGAUGUGAUUAUUGAGAUGAUAUGCUUUUGUAAAGCAUACUGUGGUAAUGUUUAACUGAUUACAAAGAUCUUGUGGUUUUUUUUUUUCUUUUAUAAUCUUUAUGUGUCUAUGGCUUUUUUGCCGAGGUAAUGCUAAUUUAUUAGAAAUUUGUUGUUGGGAUUGAAUCGAAGUCGAGUAGGUUUUGGAUCGACAGUGAUAUUAUGUGGCCUGUGCAACCGGUCUAUAAGAAAACUAUGGUUACAAUUAUUGCCUUCUGAUGAUAGACUGUUUGAUUGGAGUGAAAUGGAAGAAUUUUCGAACAAAUUAGAGAAGCACAACUCAAGCAAAAUAUUGGCACAGUCCCGCGCUCUCAGAAACUUGUGAAAGAUUUAUUGUGUUUUACAGUAAAUCCAGCACGUUAUUGUACUUUUUUUUUAAUUUUUUUUUAUUUUUCAAGAUCUGGUUGUGUCAGUGUGUUAUUUAGUUUAACUUCUUUAUGGAUGAAGCAGUAUAUAAUAUGCUACCUUUUUUUUAAAAAAAAAAACUAUGCAGUAAUAAUGUUAACAUUUUCCUCUAAAUGUUACUCUAUUUUGUUCUACUCUAGAGGAUCUUUAUUGGAGAACAGUUUUUAAUCUGCAUCUACUAUGAGCGAGAGCAUAUAUAUAUAUUGAAUAUUAAAUUUUUACCGACCGUCCCUAGCGCAAGUGGCAAAAAUAUUUGAUGGUUGGUAUCCGAGACCCAAGUUCGAAUCCUAGUUGAUUCACAUUUCUAGCUAAGUUUAUUACUAAAUGAAAUAAGAAAUAAACAAAGUGAAUAAUAUGCUAUCUUUCUCUCUCUAAAAAAAAAAAAAAAAAAACUUUUGACUAGCUAGGACGGUAAGAGGCAAUAUGAUGUGGUCACAUUCAAAGUCCUGUUCUAAAUGGUUGAACACGAGGAGAUCAGAUAUUAAUUGUCCACUGUUCUUGUUUGUAAGAACCUGUUUGACCAAUCUACACCUUAUUUUUAUUGAUAUUUUUUUUUCCAAUAAAUUCAAAAUUAAGCCAUAAUUGCAAGCUUCAAAUAAUUAAAACUGUAAUUUUCGCUGUCGAGGAGCCUAUUUUGGCUUUUCUUUUCGAGUGUGGCUCAGGUGCACAAUGCAAAAUCAAACAGAUAUUGAAAACUCAGUUUUAGCUGCAUUAUUUAAAUGAAAUGUGGAAUGGUAAAUAGAUGAAUAGUGGAAAUGAUUCUGAAUCACAACAUAAACUAACAAGUUAUAUGAGUGAUGAGCAGCUAAAAUUAAGCUUUAUUUAUAUAUAUAUAUAAAUUUAUAUUUAUUCUAAUAGUGCGUUCUCCGUGAGAAUCCAAAUUUACUUAAUUUUAACUACAUAUAUAUUCCCUGUGCAUUUUUUAUUGCGGAGAAUGUUGGCUAUUUAUUAUUAGCUAAAGUAUGCUAAUUUAACUUUCUGUAAUAAGUAGAGUUUGAUGAGUCCAAUAAAUUGAGUGGAAUUGUGGUCCACAAUAGAAUUUAAUAGUAAGAGAUUCAAUAAUAAAUUUAACGUUUAAAUGGAUUGAGUUAGAUCGAAGACCGUAAACACUGUGACGAAGUCCUAAUUAGGUGCGAUAGGAAUGCUUUCUCUGUCCAUAAUAUUUUUGAAAUAACUGAUUGCGCUUACGAUUCGCAGAGAAGAACACACACAAGUAGGAGAAAAUUAAAUAACGUAGGAACUCUCUUUCUCUGUUUUGUUCUUUGGCAUGAGGUAAAGAGGUUUAAAAUAAAAUUAGCCAGAAUGGAACUCCACACUUAAAACAAAUAUUCCACAAAAUGCAACUCUUGUAGCUAACUAUUACUAAUGUAUCCUUCUGUUUGAUUCUCUAAUCUCUCUCCACUCCUUCUUAAUAAACUCCUCAACCCUUCUAUGCAACUCAUCCACUCCCUCAUCGGCCUCCUCAAACUCCUCCACACCAUUGACAAUCUCCAAUGCUACUCCAUUAAUCUCCUCCUCCUUUUCCUCUCCUCCUCCCACAACCACUAAUUCCAUAACCUUCUCCUCCUCCACCUCUAAAUCUUGCUCCUUGAUUUGACCCACCAACUUGCUCUUCUCCAACACAUGAUGGUUCUCCUUCUUCCCCGCGAAUUCGCCGUGAAAGUCGCUUGUCGUCGCCGCCGCCGUCGAAGGCUCGAGCAAGCCAGAGUCCUUGGCCAAGAACACUACAAUGGCAUUGCAUAAGAAGAAUAUGGCCUUGCUAUUCUUGAAGUUGUUGCUGUUGUUGUUGAGAGCAUUAUGAAGAAGAGUUGAGAGGGAGGCCAAGUAGUAGUAGGAAAAGAAAAGGAGAGAGAGAGUGGAGAGUGAGAGAGUAAAUAAGGUGUAUGAUUCUCUCUUGAGCUUCUUCUUUACUUGCUUCAUGAGACCCAUCUCCAUCUCAACUCUUUUCUUUUCCUAUUUUCCCCCCUAAUCAAACUCUUCUUUCUCAAAGAUAAUGAGAGUGUGCACAAGAAGUGGUUCAUAUAUAGGUUAAAGAAACAAGUUUAAGGGGAUAAUAAAAAAAAAAAAGAAAAAAAAAAAAAGUGAUCAGUAGAGUGGACUAUGACCAGGACUUGGGGGAAGUUGAGCUGUGUGAGCCCGAACAUGCUUUGAUGAGAGUAGCCACUAUGUGAUGACACGUGUCCAGCUUCUAGUGGGGCCCGCAGGAGUAUUAUGCAUGUAAGCGUUGCACGAGAUCACGUAGUACUUUUGUGUGGGCCCCGCGCAGAGAAAGAAGCAACGCGGAAUUCGCUACCAUUCCAAGUCCGAGUCAAUCUCACGCCCUUUGGUUUGACGUAGUCAAUACGUUAAACACGAGUUAGUGCCAUUCGCGAUAUUAUUUAUCUAGCGUAAUUUCAAAUUCAUCUUUAAGUUACAGAAGUUGAAACAGGAAGACCUCAGAUGAGUAAAAAAAACAACAAAAAUCAAAAAAGAACAGAAGCAAAAGAGAAAAAAAAAAACAAAAAAAAAAACAAAGGGAAUACAACCCUCACUAAAAAAAUUAUGUCGCCUAGAUCUGCAAAACUCAGUUUAUUUCCUUUCCAUAUCACGAAUUCAUCUAUAACCAGUAAGGUGCCGAAGAUUAAUUUCUAAAAAUUACACUGUUUCUUGAUUUAAGUAAUGUUGACAGUUAUUUGAAUGUUUUAUAAGAGUUUGGCUAAAUUACAAAAAAUAUCCCCGUCAAAACUUGAUUUUUUUACUUUCUCCUCCUGUCAUUUAAAAAUCUACACUUUGCCUCCUUGUAAAAUAAAAAAUGUUCACAGGGGGGUACGGUGUGAACUAUGAUGGCAAAAUAAUCAUUUUGCCCCUCACAAUUUUGCCCCUCAUCAUAUUCAUAGAAGAGAAGGUUGAGGAUAUUUUUGGCAUAAAAAAAAUAUAAUAAUAUUUUAUAAAUGGAACCCUAACAGAUUACUAACGGCAGGGGGUCGAAGUGAACAUUUUUCAUUUUACAACGGGGCAAAGUGUAGAUUUUUAAAUAACAGAGUAAAAAAGUGAAAAAUAAAGUUUUGAUAGGAGGAUUUUAUAUAAUUUAGCCAAUGAGUUUUUUCAAACAAACUCCUAUUUUUUGGAAUCAAUGUUACCAUUUUUUAUGUACAUUUAUAUGCUAUUUGAGCCUACUGGGCCAAUAGUCCAAUGGGCUCUUAUAGCUUGUUCAAAUAGCUAAUUUUUUGGGUUUCCAACAGUAAUUUGCCGUUCUAAAAUAGGUGAAUAAUAAUAAUAAUAAUAAUAAUAAUAAUAAUAAUAAUAAAGAUUUUGUUUCUUAUUACAACAAACUUUUGCGCGACACAUAAUGACAUAGAGAGGUAGCUGAAGCUCUCCUUUGGGUCACAGCACUGCUGUUCCUCAUUUUUACUAAAAAAAAAAGAGAAUAAGAUCUAUAAUUAUUAUUAUUAUUAUUAUUAUUAUUAUUGUUAUUAUUAUUAUUAUUAUUAUUUGCCAAAUGAAAUUUCUAGGCAUACAAGUUUUAAACAACCCAUCAUCCACGGAUCCACCAUUUUUCAAUGACACAAAUUUUAAAUUUUAUUUAAAAAUUAAUAUUAAAAAAAAAAAAGAAUGAGCGCUAAAGUUGUUUGGUGCCACUGUGCGAUCUCAUCACGGGCGUCGCGAAUAUUAAAGCAAUCCCCCGCGCGAUCACACUUCCCCAUCUAUCAUAUCAACACCGUGCGAAUUUCAAAGCGUCCUACGCGCCUCUUAUCCGCUGCUACAGUGUCGUGAUCACAGCUCGAAAUAUCUCUCUCGCGCAAAAAACUGAGAAAGUCGAUUUCUCUCUCUCUAUCUCUCUCCCUUAAUCCUCGUUCACCAAAAUUAGGGUUUGUUUCGAUCGAUGAGUGUGUGCUCCCACUACGCUCUUCGCUUCUCGAUCGCCUCAUCGACCUCCCCCUUUAACAAUGGGGGGACUCGCCUCUCAGGGUGGGGGAGGAGGAGGAGGACCCAAUUCGGGGCCCGUAGGAGCUCGCAAAUGGGGUUUCUGAUGAGAUCCUCCAAUGGGUACCCGCUAAUUGGGGUCUCCUUGAAGGAUGGUGAAUUUCUGUGCGAUUUUUCGUUUUUUUUUUUUGGCUGCUUGUAAUUGGAUUGUGGCACUAAUUUGUUCUUUGUAGAUUGUUAUUUCUCCUAUUUUGAUGCUUUUUUUUUUUUAAAAAAAAAUUGUCAUUGAAUGAGAUCAUGCUAAUUAAUAAAUGUGCAUUUAUCACUAAAUUACUCUGAACACAUAAAUCUACAAAAAAGAGUUCAAAGUUAGUUUUUUUUUUUAAAAAAUUCUGUAGUUCAAAAUUAAUGCACUUGUUGUAAUACACUGAUUAGUUGGGGGAGUUAAAAAAAAAAAAAAAUUAUAUGUGAUGCAGAGGUGCUUAGUGACAAACAGCCAAUGGGGGGACUAGAAUCUGUGGAUAGCACUGUUAGCAUUACUGUUGUAGGAGCUUCCGGAGACCUCGCGAGGAAGAAGAUCUUUCCGGCACUUUUCGCUCUUUUCUACGAUAAUUUUCUUCCUGAGGUUUCGCCGUCGCAUUGUUGCCUUUUCCUUUAAACUAUCGUCGAUUCUUCAAUUGUUAUACAAAUAGAUAUAUGUUUACUUUCGUUGCGAAUGGCGGUAAUUUUUAGCUUGAUUUAUCUGUUCUUAUGCAGCAUUUUACGGUUUUCGGUUACGCUCGUCGUAAAUUAACUGAUGAAGAGCUGAGAGAGAUGAUAAGCAAAACAUUGACUUGUAGAAUUGAUGAGAGGUACACUUUUCAAAAAUUUUAUCAACUAUCUUUUACCUUCCGUAUUUUUCUAGUUGUUUGUAGACGACGUUUUCUCAUUAGCUACCGAAAAAUGACCACUACCAUACUUCUGAUCUAUUUAGUUUUGGUGAAUAACUUUGUCGAUGCUGAUAGUAUGUAUGCAUAUUUCUAGAAUUUCCCGUAUUCACAUGCUCGAGAGUCGAGAGCAACUAAAAAUACUUUAAAAUUAAACUUCCCUUAUUUUCUCGAUUGUUUACAGCGAAAACUGCGGCGACAAGAUGGAGCAGUUCUUGCAGAGGUGCUUUUAUCAAUCCGGGCAGUACAAUUCAGAGGAAGAUUUUUCCGAGUUGGACCGAAAGCUUAAAGAAAAAGAGGUAACGAAAUGAAACUGCGAGCGUUAACUUCUCAUUUUACAUUCAUAUUUUAAGUGGAAACAUAUUUUACUGUCGACAUCUUUAUACUCAUUGCUGGGCUUAAAAGGAUCAUCUAAUUGGAUACUAGUGAACAGGCAGGCAAGCUACCAAAUAGGUUAUUCUACUUAUCAAUUCCGCCAAACAUAUUUGUCGAUGUGGUGAGAAGUGCAAGCCGUUCUGCUUCUUCUCCGACUGGAUGGACGCGUUUCAUAGUUGAAAAGCCGUUCGGCCGUGACUCUGAGUCAUCUGCAGAACUUACACGCUGCCUUAAGAAGUACUUGAGCGAGGAUCAAAUUUUCAGGUAUACAAUGAGAUAGCUAGUUGUGGGUUUCUUUUUCGCCGGUUACAAAAGUAUAACUGUUGUUGUUGUCGAUCAUUACUAGUUUUAGCAUGCAAAUGUGCAUGUUGUCAAGAUAUUGAGAUCAUACUGUGCCUUAUGACCCAUUGGUUAUUUAAUUUUGUGAUUAUUACUGCAGGAUUGACCACUAUUUGGGAAAAGAGCUAGUUGAAAACCUUUCAGUUCUUCGGUUUUCCAAUCUUGUUUUUGAACCAUUAUGGUCCCGGAACUACAUCAGGAACGUUCAACUUAUAUUUUCUGAAGAUUUUGGAACCGAGGGUCGGGGCGGGUGCGUAUUAUUCUUGCGCUCCUGUUUAAUAUAACCAAUUUUGGUAACUAACAAGUAAGCACAUUAUUCAAUUGCUUCCUCCUCCUUUCCAGGUACUUUGACAACUACGGAAUCAUUAGGGACAUUAUGCAGAAUCAUCUGCUCCAAAUAUUAGCUUUAUUUGCUAUGGAAACUCCUGUCAGUUUGGAUGCUGAGGACAUUCGAAAUGAAAAGGUCCUGAUAAAAAAAACUACUAUAAUCCCAUUAAUAUAUUACCUUCUGAAUCAGAUGGGAUUCUUUUUCAGGUAAAAGUAUUACGAUCUAUGAGGGCAUUGCAACUGGACGAUGUUGUGGUGGGACAAUAUAAAGGUCAUACAAAGGGUGGAAAAUCUUACCCAGCUUAUAUUGAUGACCCAACCGUGCCGAAGGGCAGUCUCACUCCGACCUUUGCAGCUGCUGCUCUUUUCAUUGACAAUGCAAGAUGGGAUGGUGUCCCUUUCUUAAUGAAAGCUGGAAAAGCCUUACAUACUAGGCGGUAAGAUUGCAUUUUCCUACAGAGAUAUCAUUAUAUUUACAUACCUGCAAAAUAGAAAAAAAAUAUAUAAUUUCUUGCAUUUACGCCAUUCUACUUGCCAAAAAUGCUCCUAUUUAGAAGCCAUUUGCUAGCAAAAUGUUUCCCCUGUGAAUUCAGUGAUUCCUCAAUGUAAAUGUGGUUAUUUUUAUAAGAAAUCAUACUUUUCAUAUCUGAAAAUUUUAUAUAUGUAAUAUGCAUAAUUUCAGAGGGAUCUGUGCGUAAAAGGCCUAUUAUAGUUUAGUGCUGAUGUUUGGUUCAGUAGGUGCUGGUUAAAGAUGUGGUGUCUCUUUUCUUUUUUCUUUUUUAUCAAUUCAGGGCAGAGAUUAGGGUUCAGUUCAGGCACGUACCUGGCAACUUGUACAAGCGCACUUUUGGAACCGAUUUGGACAAAGCAACUAAUGAGCUUGUGAUCCAUGUGCAACCCAAUGAAGCUAUAUAUCUGAAGAUAAACAAUAAGGUUCCAGGGCUGAGCAUGAGACUGGACAGGAGUAAUUUGAAUCUACUUUACUCCGAGAGGUAAGACACUGUUUUAAGUUUUAUGGAGUGCUUGACUACAUGGCAUAUUCUGGCACGUACAUAUAUACUUAUUAUUUCUAUUUACGCACACAAUAUCUGCAUAUCCAUAUAGACAUGUAUACACUUGUUACUGCUUAUCAUACAUUUUUAGACCUUAGGGUCCUGCUAUCCAGUUCCUCAUCAGUUUACUUUAGUGUGUUGAAGCCUCAUCAAUCAGCCUACUCUAUUUUUGAAUCCCCUUCCUCAGAGAAAUCCUCUCUUAUCUAUAUAUUUCUAUGUUUAAAUAUAUAGAUAAGAUAUUUCUAUGUUUAAAUAUAUUCUAUACUUGUAAAAUUUCGUAACACGUCACACCGCCCACAUCUAACAUAGAUGAAAAUCUAAGUUGAGAAAACUUCUCUCUCUCUCUCUCUCUCUCUCUCUCUCACCUACUAUCUGUUCAGAUACCCACGAGAGAUACCAGAUGCAUAUGAGAGGCUGCUCCUAGAUGCGAUUGAAGGAGAACACCGACUGUUCAUCAGAAGCGAUGAGCUCGAUGCAGCUUGGGCUCUCUUUACACCAUUGCUUAAAGAAUUAGAAAAUAGGAAGGUCGCACCGGAGCUAUACCCGUAUGGGAGCAGAGGACCAGUUGGAGCACACUAUCUUGCUGCCAAGUACAAUGUGCGCUGGGGAGAUCUCAGCAGCGACGGCACUUAGUCUUAUUUUAGUCUCAAAUACAAUCUUCUGCACCGGUGCACCAUGUCCUUCCCUAUGUUUUUUUUAGAUUCUUUUGCUUGCCCCCAUUAUAAAGGCGAUAUACUAGAUCAUGCAAUUACUGUUUUGUCUUUGUACAAUUUCUUUGUUUUGAUUCUGAAUUUUCUGCUGUAUAGUUCUCUGCGAGAGCAUAAAAAUGUCGAAGGUUUAAGAACAUACUGUAUCUACUGUAAUUUCUGAAUCAGUGUGAAAACAAUUUGAUGCCCAAGAACUUGAAACAUAGAACUCGAGUAUAUUGUUUGCAAUUCUCUUUUUCCUUUUGUUUGUCGAGUAUGUGAUACAUUUAUACAUUCACAAGAACUUGUGCUUUAUUAGUACAAGAUCUCUUCAUAUACAUAUGUAUACGUAUGCAUGAUUGGUAGCACGCUAUCAUUUAUACAUCUAAUUCAGUACGCAUCUUCUUUAUCGCCUUCUCGUGCCUUCGCACACGCGUUGGCAGGUGUCUGUUUGUUACUCAGUCGUACGGCUCCUGUAGUGUACACCCGAAUGCUGUUCCCUACCGAAGACAACCAUAUACGUCUCGGGUUUACGUGCGAGGUCGGUCGACAAUGUGAAUCAUUUGGAAUAUGAAGUAUUCUAACCGCGCAAUCCUUGUCGAGCCUCGGGAUAGCGUGGAGGUGCGAAGGGAGGUCGACUAUGAACUCACCGUAUUCGUCGGUGGUUCCGUACGCCCAGUUGAUCUUUCUCCUUUUUUCUUCGAUUUCGCAAGCAACUGCCACUUUUGCACCUGUAAAUCAGGGGGACAUAUUGCUAUAUGAUUAUUCCUAUUAAGUGGGGAAAAGAAAAGAGAAAGGCACAUGUAAACUAAAAGUUUGAUCUCUUUUUUCUUUCUUUUUUUUCUUUUUUCUCCUGCUUAGUUGCCUAGUAUUUUGAAGGAAUGCCGUGUACUAAACCAUGUUGAAAACUUAACAGCCUAACAUACUUUUGGUAUGCUGUCGACAUACCAAGAGUUGUGCCUUCUCUUUCUUGCCACUCUUUGUCAUGUACUAGUCAUGUACUUGAUCUUGAACUCACCACUUAAAUGUGUGGCUUCAUUAUCUAAACUUAAUUAGAAUAAAUAAUAACCAUUUAAGGCACCUCUCUAGCGCUAAGGGGCUGUUUGGUUUAUAAUUGGAAUAGGAAUGAAAAAUAAAAUUGAAUUGUUUUGAAAUGAAAAAUAAAAAAUGAAAUAACGGAUCAUCCAAAAAUAUUUAAUUUAUUAUUGGAAUAGAAAUUGGAAUAAAAAUUUAGACUUUUGAGCGAGGGUUUUGAUUAAGAUAGAGAAAACUGAUGAAGGGAGAGAAGAUAGGUGUCGGUGAAAAAGGAUUUUAAAUAGUUUACUUUGGCAUGAGCGAUUCCGAAAUUCAAAACCGGAUUAAGCCAUAAAUGGAUUUGGCCAUUUCCAGUUCAGAGUGGAAUGAGAACUGAAAAAAAACAAAUGACAACUAUCAGAAUCAAUAAAUUUCAUUUCGAUUUCAUAAUCUAAAAUAAGUGAACCAAACAUGCCUUAAAUAUCCAAGAAAAUAAUUUUCUGUUUGAAAAAGUAUUUUCUAUUCUUUUUGUUCCCUUUUUUUUUUCUAGAUUUACGGAAAAAUAAUGUUUUUAUUUUUCAAAUUUUAUCUAGAAAGCAAAAACUCUGAAAAAGAUUAUUUUUUAUAUGUUUUUUGAAUAACAAUUUUGUAGGAUUUUCUGAGAAACCAAACACCUCGUCAACUAAAAUGAAGUGUCGAACAACCGAUACCAAUCCAAUCUUUCCUUGAGCAAUGAAAUUAAACAGUACGCAGAAAAUUCUUGUACAAUACCGUAAAUACAAGAAAUUUGUAUCUUAAACAAUAAACAAUUCUAGCAAAAACUAAACCGUAAUUCGGAAACAUCCAAUAUAAGUUAGGAAGGUGCAUUUUUGGUAACCACAGCUUAUGCUUUUGGGUCUUACAUUUAAUUUAUUUUGUAUGAUGCAAAGAAGCAUGUUUAGUUUCGGGGGUUCCAACCAAAUUUUCCUUCCCCCACAUUAUAUCAUAUUAUAUUAUAGAAAGGACUAUCAAAUUAUUUGAAUGAGUAUUCAUCUAAUUAAUCUUGCUUUGGACAAUUUAAUAACUACAUAAAACUAAAAUAUCACUUCAAAAAUAUUAACCCAAUUAAUUUCAAAUAUUAUUUGUUUGGUUAUGGGUCCACAUUGAUGCAACUCAAGUUCCUUCAAUUUCACCCACCAACCAAGGGAUAAAGACCACCUAUCUAAUGAACGGGUCUUAUCAAUAAGAAUAGGAAUUUACAUAAUUCCAUUAAGGAUCAAAAAAAUGACUCAUGCCAAUAAAUUAGAUUUUGGAUGUCCAAAUUUUGGAUAACAUAAUUAUAUAUUUUAAUCAAUUAUAUGUGACAAAGACUUGCUCAAAUGCAUGAAUAUCUUGUUCAGUAGUUUUUUCGAGUGUGAUCAAAUCUCUAGCGCGAUAUGCCAUUUGCGGCUUUCGAAAAAGGCGAAAUAUGUUUUCUAUCAAAUUAUGAAUACUAAGUCAUUGCCAAAGUAAAGAAAAAAAAUCAAACUCAUAGAUUUUAAUUACAACAUAAUUUUUUUCUGUACUGAAUAAGUAAUUACUACUGCAUACGUAAUUUAAUUUCGUUUUUUCAGUUUUUUUUUUUUUUUUUUCUAUUUGGAUUGUAAAAUUAGGAUUGGAAACUCAAGGGGCGAUAAGCUUAAUCAUGCAUUAGAUAAUUAAAACAAAAGCAACAUUAUAAUAUCAACUUUAUUUAUAAAAUUUGAUAUCAGCAAUAUUAUAAUAUCAACUUUAUUUUAUAAAAUUUGAUAUGAACAAUACCAUAAUUUUACAUGGUAUAAGAGCUGAAGGUUUGAAAAUUACGACGAUCACAGUUAACGAACGAACCUCGGAUGUUAGAGGUGCGGAGGUGGGGCCCCGGGAGGAAGCAGGCGUCGCAGACGAGCGCGCCGGUGACGAGCACCGACGAGAGCCUCUCCUCGCCGUAUCCCGCGAUGCGCGCGAGCUCCGCGCGCGAGAGAUGCAUGAAAGUAGAAUCCUGCUGCGCCGUCGCAGCCGCAGAACAAACUACGCUGGCGAGGAGCAACACAGCCGCCACCGCCGCCGCCGCAGCCGCCGCCGUCGCCGACAACGCGGGGCCGCCGCCUCGGAUUUCGUGCAUCUUCUACUCUUUAUUGUUUGUUUGUUUGCUUGUUUGUUUGUUGUUGAGUUGUUUCUGCAACUUAGUUUUUGGACAAUCGAAGAGAAAAACUGAGACUUUGAGAUCGAGCUACCGUGCGUGAACUUAUAAACGUGUUAGAUACAAAAAUGCCCUCGUGUUUUGACAGAAUCACUAGAAUGCCACUGCACACACAAAAUUACUAGAAUUAUUAAUUAAUUAUUUUAUAUAGUAAGGUUUAAUUUGAUGUGCGAAAACACGCAAAUAAUUACUUAGCAAUGCUAUUUGUUGUAAAAAUUUUGCAUAUCUAUCUAUAUGAUUAUAAAUGCAUAAAAGCCACAAUAGAUUAAUAUAGUUUCAAAUAAAUUUAAAAGUCAAAAACUUUGAAUUCUCUACCCUUGCAAUUCAUUCCUAACAAUGAAAAUGGAUCAUAAUUUAGAAUAAAUUUGUUAGAACAAUUCUCAAAUAAUUGAUGAUCUGAAGUGUGUGUAUAUGUUAUGAAUAUGACCGUCUUCGUAUUUAUAAGUUAUUUUCAAUGAUGAAGCUUAGUAAUCGAUCAUCUAUAUCGUUAAACAUAAUUUACAGAUUAAAUAUUUUAAAAAUUAAAUUCUAUAAUUUUUGGACAUUAUAUGCCUUGUGAUAGGGAAAAAAACUCAAAAUUAAUAAUUUUAAUUGCUGGUAUAGGGCAUUCCCUAAUUUAACGGUGUAGAAUUUAAAAUUAGUUAAAUUUUUGAUGAAAAGUUUUAUUCACUAACUAGAUCAUGAUGAAUAAUUCUGAUCACGAAUUGAACAAUUUGGUCCUCUACUUUUAAAAGGUUGUUCGAUUUUAAACGUUUAUUUUAUCCACUUGAUGAGCUUUAUUAUAAAUUUAAAAAAAUACAAAAUUUAAUUUCUAAAUAUUUCAAAUGCUCUAAAUCAUACUGAACGGUAUGGAUCAUCGAUUCAAAAGCUCCAGUAUCGAAAAUGACUUAUGAAUACAAAGACUUUCAUCCUCAUAAGACUAUAAAAGCUUUAAACACACACACACAUACACGUAUACAUGAAAAACAGAAUCGAUAGAAAUUUAAUUUUUGAACUUUAAAAAAUAUAGGAAUUUAGAACUGACUCUGAUAUAGUUAACUUAAACAGCCAAACAUGUAGGAGAGGGUUUUUGAGAUGUUUUAACAAAUACAAUAAGUGCUAAUUAAUUAUUAUUAUUAUGCAAGAAACUAUAUAAGAUGUAUGCAUCCAUGUAAAUUAAAUGAUCUUUAGGGUCUCUUAAUUUACAUGGGCAAUGCUUGUAGAGAUACAAGCCAUUGAAAUUGAGGGGGAGGGGAGGGGAGGGGAGGUGAAAAGAUGGUGAUGGAGUUAAGCCAUUGGUUUGGUUGGUUGCCUACUCCUUUUCACCAUGCUACAACAUCACAAGAGGGACACGUGUCACCAUGUCAGGGGUGCCACCUGUCUCAUCCUUAAAACCUAAGAAAGAGUACUUUCCUUUGCAUUCAACCCUACCCCACCUAUCCUUCAUGUACUCCUUUGAAAUAAGGUCCAAGUAAUUGAAUUAUUAUUGCAUUACUAUGUUUCUAUUUUGGGGGCAAUGUUAGGACAACAUCCCACACUUGCUUAUCACUGUUCAAUGUGCUUUGUGUUUAGCUUUUACCAAAAAAAAAAAAAAAAAAACUUAAUAAUUUUUAAACCUUAAUAGUGUGGGCUUAAAAAGAACCAGCAUUUUAUCUUGCGGUGGAAGAGCAGAUUGAGCCGAGUCAUAUUCAAAAUUGCGAGAGGCUGGACUGGGCCGAGUCAUAUUCAACAUGACGUGAGACUGGUUAGGCCAAGUUACAGUCGAUAUUCAUGGGUUCUGUAUCUGUACGCUUUAAAUGAAUUGGUUGUAUAUUUCUAACAGAUCGCGCUUUUGGGAUUAAUGGUUAGCACCGAUAAUCCGACAAAUAGUAUGUCAAAUUGGCUUGUUCGUUAAAUUGGUCUGUUUAUUAAUCUGAUGUUAAGUUUAUUGAUAAUAAGAUGACCAAUAGAUUGUAAGUCAAUAUAUUUUGGCGAAAUUUUUGGUGUCAUUUUUUUUUUCCAAUCUAAAAAGAGAAUAUGCAGUUAAAAUAAGUUUUGUUUUUAAAAUUUUAACCAUUUAUUCUUUCACAUAAUAUAUAGGCUUCAAUUUGUGUUUUUAGAGCAUGGGUGGAUUCAAAAAUAGCUUGAGAUCAUCUUUUCAUCAAUGAAAUUAAUGCUAGGCAACAAAAGAAGCCAAUUUAGUAUAUUUAUAAAAUUUAUUUGAAUUAUACAUCAUUUUGAUUAGACUAUCUAAUCUUUUAAAAUUUUAAUUUUAGCACCCAACCUUUUAAUUAAUUUGUUUGAUUAAAGUGACUUGAUGACUCGUUGGUUAUAAAAUUUAAGCUAAUUACUUAUUUUAAUAAAUUUAUGAUUAUAUAAGUAAAGAUAAACGACUCACAUAAAUUUUGAAAUUAAAGAGCCACUAAUUAGCUUAAAUCAAUUAAGUUAAAAGAACAAGUAAUAAAAUCAAAAUUUUUAGAGAUUAGCUAGUUAGAUUCAAAUAGGUAAUAAUUAAGAUAAGUUUUAUAUUUUUUUAUCUUAAUUUUUCCUAACACCUUAUGUUAUACUAAAACCCAAAUGGCUUAAUUGCCCAUUGAAUUAUCUCAGCUUUUAGAAUGAGGACAAAGAAAAAGUCAAAGUUCAAAAUUGCCCCAAAUGUACUUGAUAAAAAAAGAAAUACAAAAAUUCAUUAAUAUUGCAUUUAAUGAGUGAAAAAAAAAUACAGUGAACAAUUCACUAAAUCUAUAAAAGAGUUGCUUGAUUUAUUACAGGACUUAAAAUAUUUAAAAGAAAAAAUUGUACAAAGACCCCAUCAUUUUUCUUUUUUUGGAUNCCCAAAUGUACUUGAUAAAAAAAGAAAUACAAAAAUUCAUUAAUAUUGCAUUUAAUGAGUGAAAAAAAAAUACAGUGAACAAUUCACUAAAUCUAUAAAAGAGUUGCUUGAUUUAUUACAGGACUUAAAAUAUUUAAAAGAAAAAAUUGUACAAAGACCCCAUCAUUUUUCUUUUUUUGGAUUCAGCAUCUCAACUUCUAAUUUUUAGAAAUAAGUAAGUUUAGUCAAAAUAUUUAAGAAUGGUACUAAAUUUAAUGACUUUAGUCUCUCUCUCUCUCUCUCUCUCUCUCUCUCUCUCUCUCUCUUUAGCUAAUAAAACUAGAUCAAUUAAUCAUUCAUAACUAAUAAUGUCAUUUAAUUUGAUAAAUUUUUUACCUUAAUUAAGUAUGAAAGCUCAAAAACAAAAGUUGAGGAGGUCUCAAAAAACCAAAAAAAAAAAAGUUGAGGGGGGUAUUUCAAAAUGACCAAUAGUUGCGGGGGCUCCAUACAAUUUUUUACCCACUAAAAAUGCAGCGAAUCCAAAAGAUGCAGUGACUGCCACCCAUACAAAAUCCUCAAAAUGAAUCAGCAUACAUUUUAUUUUUAAUUUAAUUUUUUUAAAAAAAAUAACUUAACAAACACGGCCUCAUAUCGUGUUUUCUAUUUUUUAUUUUUAACAUUAUUUAUAUAUAAUUAGAUAUAUCAGACAAUACUUUUUUUUUUUGACGUCAUGAAUUACUUAUCCUGCAGUGCAUGCACACUAUAUAGAUGAUAAAUAACAAACAAUUUAUUAUCCACUUUGCACUUAUUUUUCUGUAAAAAUUUUUAUUUAAAAAAAAGGACAAAAAAAAGAGUUUUGCCUAAGAUAAUUUAAGUAAAAAAAUUAAAAAAUAACCUUUGAAUUGCUUGUAUAACAUUAUUAUUUACAUAAGAAAAGUUAAGAAUCUUUUUCAAAAUACGUAAUAGGUGAGGGGGGUAAUCUCUUUUAGGGGUAUGCGCAGUGCGCUACACACGUGAGCCUCACACGCCUCACACGUGCCACCGUGGCCACUGUCCUUUUCUGGACCGUUGCAUGCGUAACGUAUGAGCGCCUUCUUGCUGACGUGGUGGCGUCUCUGCUUAAAAUAUUAUUAUUUCCGAGCUCUCGGUGUAUGCAUUGGCCUCUACCGAUGCAUGGACCACCCCUGUACACCUGGAUCCUCAAAAACUCAAAUUUAGAAGUUCAAAAAUUUAAAUUUAAAUAAUUAGACAUUUUCCAUAAAAAGUGAUUAGUUUAAGCAUGAAUCAUUUUGGAUAAUUCUUUUCUCAUGUAAUCAAUAAUAAAUAUAAUAAAUCUUUUAAAAUUGUUAUUUUUUAGACUACUUGCUACUUUAUGUUGGUGUUUGGUUGCGUGUUACAUACUGUCUUUUGCAGUGCACAAAAAUUGCGGUCAUUUGGAUUUUAUAGUCGCUUGUGCGGUUCCACGUGUAGCGGCAAAGAUAUGCAUCUUUAAGAAACCUUGAGUUUCUCACGUAAAUAAGCGACGCAGUCAUACAAAAAAUAAAAUUUUAAUAAGACGGUUCUCAUUUAAUCUUACGGCUCCCUCUAAAUCUGCCGUUUUCAAUACAAUAUUGAGAUUUGGAUAGAAAACUUUAAACCUAAUAGAUCUUUAAGAUUCACAUAUGAAAUAAAUCAAAUAACCUAUUAAGCAGUCUGAAUGAAAACUCAUUGAGGAGCUCUUCAACUAAAUUGCGUUUUAGUCACACCGCUGGACUAAACAUAACUUAUAUAAUGAUUUUUUUUAAAACAAAAUUAUAUGUAAAUUAUUUAAAAUAUUAUGAAUCGCAUUUAACCAUUUAUAUAUAAAGAUUAAAAUUCUAUAAUAGAAGCUUCAAAAUUAAAUUUGAUGCAUUUGAUGAAAUUUAUGACAUUGAUAUUAUAGACCCCCCAGUACGGCGAGAUCGCUUAAAAAAAAUUAAAAUCUUAUUUAUUUUCUAUUUUAGUUUUUUUUUUUUUUUGAGAAAAAGAUAGUAUGCUACCCGCUUCAUUCAUUCAGAGGGUGAAUUAAGCUACAUGGGUGAGGCAGCAAGGCCUCAGGGGUGGUCAAAAAAAAAAAAAAAAAAAAGAAAAAAAAGAAGAGUAUUGGUUAGAGAUUCUUCCACAGAGAUAUUAGCUGCUUGACUUUGUGUAAAGUACCUAAGGGGUCCACCUGUGCCUUUCUAAAAAUCACUUCGUUCCUGCUCUCCCAUAUAACCCACCAGCAGACUAUUAAUCCAAUAAGACCGUUGCUAGCGGAUAGUGGCCUCUGCCGUCCUUUCCACCUGUCUCAUACCAGUAGAACGUCGUCACUCAAGUCCUCUGAUUCAACGUCCGCCAGUGACUUCACCAGAAGAAAUCGAAAAAAUACACACCGAGAGAAAAGAUGAUCCACAGUUUCUGCUCCGGACCCACACAACACGCAAGUCGUGUUGCCAGCCCAUCCUCUUUUUAGCAGGUUAUCCGCAGUAAUUUGUCUCUUCCUGAGGACGAGCCAGCAGAACACUUUCACUUUGAGAGAAAUAUGAAUCCUCCAGAUCGCCUUAGAGCGGUAGUCCCUCGUACCCCCAUCACACAGUGCAGCAUAUGUAGAUUUUACGGUGAACCGCCCGUCGGUGCUCCACCGCCAAGCCAAACUGUCUGCUCCUUGGCCAACUCUGUAAUUAGAGAUCCUUUCCUUAAGAGCCGAUAUGCAUAUAUUUAUCCUGGGGUCAGCAGUGUUGGCGCUGCUUAGAAUCUUGUGCCAACACCAGUCGUCGCUACUGAAGCAAUCAUUGAUUAGCCAAUUUUUGCGGGGCACUGAAAGGAAAACCUCCGGAAAUAAUGAUAGUAGGGUGGUUUCUCCGCACCACCGAUCGGACCAAAAAUCGAUAUUACACCCAUUGCCCAACGUAAAGAACAUACCCCAUUUAAAAAUAUCUUUCUGCCCUAGAACUCCCUUCCACCGAAAGGAGGUUGGUCUAAAAGAUCGUCCCUCCUUUAAAGGUCUUCUUCUAAGGUAAUACAACUCGUGGAUUACCUUGUUUAAAUGUUGGCGAAAAGAUAAGUUUAUUUUUAGAUAGAAUUACUUUAUACAACUACUGUAUUUUUGCAGUAUAGCACUUGAAUCCAAAUACAUUAUGUAAAUAUAACUAAAGCAAAGUAAACAAAAUAUAAUUGAACUUGCAAUGCAACAUGAAAUAUAAAAAGUGACCAAACAAGCAUGAAGUGCAUGUAUACACCAGGCGCACCGAGUUGUUCCUCUGUAAGUUUUAAAGUCCCUGGUCUAUACACCGGGUCCACGAAGUGUUUCCACAACGUGUCGAGAAACGGAAACUUUUUUUGUUUGCUCCCUCCCCUCGCUCUAUACAAAGCCCACUCUCUCUAGAGAGAGUAAGAGAGAGAGAGAGAGAGAGAGAGGGAGGGAGCUCUCCCCAUUCACAUUUCUCUCGAUUACACCACCCGGGGCUCUAAUCGAUCCCUCAAGUAAGCGACUUUACCUUUCAAAAUGUGGUAUUGCUGCGUAAUUUUGCCGAUUUUCUCCACCAGUUGAGGUUAAUCGGUGUUUUUCUGGUUCAAAAGCUGCUUAAUUUGGUGUCGAAUUCGCUACAUGUCGUUAGGGUUUUUGAAAUUUUGCGAAAGGAUUCGAUUUUAGGUGGUAUCAGCUCUUUUUCGUGGUAAAGUUGAGUUUUCGAGGCUUUAAUUCAAGUGUUUUCUCAUUAGUUUUUGGUCAUUGUUGCUUCUCGUUGUGUAAGAUGAGAAAUUUUUGUAGUUUAACUUUGCUGCAUGCUUCUUCUUUUUUUUGUGUUUCAGCAUCUUUAGUGGUUUUGAUUACUUUGGACCUAUUUUUUUCUCUAGUUUUUGAUGUUUCUUGCUUCAAUGUGAAAAGCAUCGAAGUUGAUGGAGUUGAUUUGAUGAAGUUUUUUUCUAUUUGGUUUUUUCCCCUCAAUUAGAUUGAGAUUUUGGUAUUCCUUCCACUGUUUGAUUUGUAACUGAUCAAUUUUAUUUUCUCAAUUUGCUUUUAAUUUAAGGAAAAAAAAAAAAACCUCAAAUUGUUUCUACACGGUUGAUCGCAUUUGCACUUUACUAUCCUGUGGUUUUACUUGCGGGAGUUAACUGCCGCGCCCUAUACUUUUCCAUAAGGAUCUCCUAUUGAAAAAGUAUGUGGGGUCACAAAGUACAUAAACUCGAGGUCCUUGAGCGUAAUGAAAUAGCAACCACGGAAUAGUUAAAUGCAACAAAUAAAGCCAAUCCAAUUUAGUCGUAGUUAGAGGAUUGUUUUUAGUUUAAAAAUU
rnacentral:lncRNA from 1 species